GUUGUGUUAGUCAGUUGGUUGUCACAACAGAAUCAAAAUCAGUUCCCCUUUGACUGUGCAGGUUCGAAACCUGCCGAUAACA